CGGCCGCAUCACGUUAAAACACCAGUUCCCGUACGAUCAACGAAAGUUAAGCAACGUCGAACCUGGUCAGUGCCUAGAUAGGUGACCGCAUGGGAAUAACAGGUUCUGUAA